rnacentral:lncRNA from 13 species
AUCUGUCUCACUCAUGCUAAGUACAUGUAUCUUCUCAGCAAAUAACCACUGCUGGACUGAGAGACUCUGAAUCUUUCAGGCUUCCCUGGAUCUUAAAAGAAGCCCUCCCUCCUGCCAUUUCUGCCUGAUCACAAAGAUCCUGAUGGCUUACCUUUCACUAGUACAUAAGCUAUUGAAUUGCAAAACCCAGGAAGAAUCUCUGAGGAUGGCAGUUUUCUGUCCUGUCUGAGGCAUGAACCAGGGCAAGGCUCCAAUGGGGUAGCCUGGACAGGAAAGCUUUUCUUCCAUGGUCUGAAGAUUCUGAUGCCACAGCACUAGAGGAGCCACAAGUUUCUAAAUUCCAGACUCCCCUGUCAAAGCUUCUCCAUCCACUUCUGGCAUCGGUGCCAAAGGGGCAUGGGACAAAUGGAGAUCCGUCUAAAAUCAGUACAACUGUUUUAAUAAUAUUAAUAGUGUAUAAUAUGAAUAACUACAAGAAUAAUAGUAACUACCUAUAGAGUGCUUUCUCAAAAUCUGGCAUGGUACUGACACUGAACUUUUGACUUGCAUUAUUUCAUCAGGGAGAUAUUUUCAUUUUCCAGAUGAAAAACUGAAGCUCAGAAAGGUUAACAACCGUUCAAGUAUUUACACCUAGUCCGUGGUUGGAGAGAUGGUUCUUAAGCCUAUUGAAAAUCACUGUGGUCUCCAGCAGGAGCUAUGGCUGCCAAAGGAUGAAAGUCGCUGGGGUGAACCCAGAGGUUCAAGUGGUUGGCUCCUUUGCACCAGGUCUAGUUAGGUGUCUUCCAGAAGAGCAGUGGCUCUAGACACUCGGUAUCUCCAAGGUCACUUCAGAGUGCGCCUAAAUUUCUGAGCUUUGAAGUAUCCUUGAUCUCAUCUCAGUGUUUUCCUAGGUCAGGGACUGCUUCUGAAACUAAGUUCUUGCGAUCACUACCCCAGUUCAUGUUAGUGAUGCUCAUUAGACAGUGUUCCCAGCCCAUCCUCUUCACUCUGGCAAUGUAAGUCUAGGGCUGUUUAGGGAUGGGGAGUUUGGAAGGGGUG